CUGCAGUCGGUAACUUCAUCAGUCUUUUCACUCGGCGUUCUCCAUUUUUUGUUCCUCUCUCGGCUUUGGGUCUGGACCCAGGAGCUCCCCCUCAUCUACAUCGUUGCAUUAUAGUCUCCUUAUGUUCUUCAACUUUCGGUGAAAGCAAAUAUGUUGUUCAUGAAAGGAGAUUUGCUUACGAAAACCCGAAAGCUGGUCAAGGGCUUGGCCAAGGCUGAGCCUGUUUAGUACAAGGCCAUGGAACAAACACCACCUCCGACAUUUCCUCGUGCGGAUGCAAUUCAGAGGAUCACUCUCCCAGAGGAUGUUUACGUAAAAAAGUUUUUCCAGAGGCAUCCAGAUUCCAUAUGUGAAAACGCAAUCAAGUUUUCUGCUUUUGAUCAUCCUCCGGCCCGCAUAUUUGGUCUGCGGGUACUUGAGUUGAAGGAGCUGGGGGUUUCAGAAGAGCAAGCCAUGGUGGUAGCUGAUACCGAAUACCGAGCAGAGAGAAAGGCAAAGAAGAAGGCAUAUGCCGAGUUGAAGCAAAUUGCACGUCAACAAGGAAAGAAACCGCCUCCCAACCCAUAUCCUAGUGCUAUAAAGGAGAUACAAGCUCUGGAGAGGAAGCAUGUCUGAUCGUUUUUACAAUCCGAGGAUUCGCCAGAUAUUAAGGAAACUGCAAGAUGAAAAAGCAAUCGAGGAUCAGGACAGAAUGAGAGCGGGUUGGGCUGGUGGCGUGAUAAGAGCAAAAAAUGUGACGUUCUUAAUGAAAGACAAGUCAUAUUUGGAUAAGGAGUAGUGAUGCCGUGAUGCAUUCCUACUGAGACAAGGAGAUCAUGUCCGAGUUGGAUAAGGAGAGAAGAGGUCGGCCUAGUUAUUUCCUAGUUGAAGGAGAGAUGUCUUGCAGCUUUUAAUUGUUUCCUAAUUGAAUUUGGUUUCCUACUGUGGAGCUGGGUUCCGAGGCUCCGCCAAUUUUGUAGUAAUAUUUCCUUAUGACUUCCGAGAUUU